UUUAAAGUCUCACCUGCCCACUGAGAAUUUAAAUGGCCGCGGUAUUUUGACCGUGCAAAGGUAGCAUAAUAAUUAGUUUCUUAAUUAGGAGCUGGAAUGAAUGGUUGGACGAGAGAACUACUGUCUCAAGUUAAUUUUUUUUUGAAUUUUAUUUUUGAGUUAAAAAGCUCAAAUUUAUUUAAAAGACGAGAAGACCCUAUAGAGUUUUAUAUUAUUUUAUUUUAUUAAUUUUUAGAAUUUAAUUUUCAAUAAUUUUUAUUAGUAUUUUGUUGGGGUGACAGAGAAAUAUAAUUAACUUUUUUUUUAUUUCUUUCAUUGAUUUAUGUUUUUUUGAUCCAUUUUUUAUGAUUAAAAGAUUAAAUUACCUUAGGGAUAACAGCGUAAUUUUUUUUAAGAGUUYUUAUCGAAAGAAAAGUUUGCGACCUCGAUGUUGGAUUAAAAUUUAUAUUAGGUGUAGGUGCUUAAUUAUUAGGUCUGUUCGACCUUUAAAAUUUUACA
rnacentral:rRNA from 1 species